rnacentral:rRNA from 1 species
GACGAACGCUGGCGGCGUGCUUAACACAUGCAGGUCGAGCGAGGCCCAUCCUUCGGGGUGGUGCCCUAGCGGCGAACGGGUGAGUAACACGUGGGCAACCUGCCCUCAGCUCUGGGAUAACUCCAAGAAAUUGGUGCUAAUACCGGAUGUGACCGCUGACCGCAUGGUCUGGUGGUGGAAAGAUUCAUCGGCUGAGGAUGGGCCCGCGGCCUAUCAGCUUGUUGGUGGGGUAAUGGCCCACCAAGGCGACGACGGGUAGCCGGCCUGAGGGGGUGACCGGCCACACUGGGACUGAGACACGGCCCAGACUCCUACGGGAGGCAGCAGUGGGGAAUAUUGCGCAAUGGGCGAAAGCCUGACGCAGCGACGCCGCGUGAGGGAUGACGGCCUUCGGGUUGUAAACCUCUUUCAGUAGGGACGAAGCGAAAGUGACGGUACCUACAGAAGAAGCACCGGCCAACUACGUG